GGACAGUAUCUAUAUAGAACUGUACCAGCAAUAAAUACUAAUAAACAAUAGUCUGCCUUGAUCUUAUUAGACAGGGACGGGAG
rnacentral:ncRNA from 1 species